rnacentral:piRNA from 1 species
UGUGAAAUGACACGAAAAGUAGCAACAGCA